GAUGAACGCUAGCGAUAGGCCUAACACAUGCAAGUCGAGGGGCAUCACAUGAGGCAGCAAUGCCGAUGGUGGCGACCGGCGCACGGGUGAGUAACACGUAUGCAACCUGCCUUCAACAAGGGGAUAACCCGUUGAAAAAACGGACUAAUACCCUAUAAUACAGGGGUCCCGCAUGGGGAUAUUUGUUAAAGAUUGAUCGGUUGAAGAUGGGCAUGCGUUCCAUUAGCUGGUUGGUGAGGUAACGGCUCACCAAGGCAACGAUGGAUAGGGGAACUGAGAGGUUUAUCCCCCACACUGGUACUGAGACACGGACCAGACUCCUACGGGAGGCAGCAGUGAGGAAUAUUGGUCAAUGGACGCAAGUCUGAA
rnacentral:rRNA from 1 species